rnacentral:rRNA from 1 species
UACGGAGGAUGCGAGCGUUAUCCGGAUUUAUUGGGCUUAAAGGGUGCGUAGGCGGUCCGUUAAGUCAGCGGUAAAAUUGCGGGGCUCAACCCCGUCGAGCCGUUGAAACUGUCAGACUUGAGUUGGCGAGAAGUACGCGGAAUGCGCGGUGUAGCGGUGAAAUGCAUAGAUAUCGCGCAGAACUCCGAUUGCGAAGGCAGCGUACCGGCGCCACACUGACGCUGAGGCACGAAAGCGUGGGGAUCGAACAGG